UACAGAGGUGGCAAGCGUUGUUCGGAAUUACUGGGCGUAAAGGGCGCGUAGGCGGCCUUCUAAGUCAGACGUGAAAUCCCCCGGCUUAACCUGGGAACUGCGUCUGAUACUGGAGGGCUUGAGUAUGGGAGAGGGAUGUAGAAUUCCAGGUGUAGCGGUGAAAUGCGCAGAUAUCGGGAGGAACACCAAUUGCGAAGGCAGCUCGCUGGGACGUCACUGACGCUGAGACGCGAAAGCCAGGGGAGCAAACGGG
rnacentral:rRNA from 1 species